UAGUGUGUACGUUGUGUAUCUGAGUGUGUCAUUUAACAUACAGUAUACAGUGUGUGCCCCAGUGUUUCUGUUUUACCUUCAUUUUGUUUCUAUUGAAUUUCAUUGUAGGAUGAGUCUAAAUCUGAAAAUUACUAAGUCAAUAAAAAGAUAUUUCCGUUUCCCAGGCAGCUUCCUCUCUUGUUAGCUUUGCAGGUUACUGUAGUAUAUUUUUCAAAUAAAGAAUCAAUAUUGAUUAAAUCUAAACUUUACUUGUAUUUCCCUAACUUUAUUUCCUCUAGCCUAAUAUCUUUUCUGUAUUCUAGAAGUCCCUCAAGGACUGCCUGUGUCUGGAGGCUCCCCCUGGCUGAGACAGACAGACAGAUCAUCAAGGACAACUCAGAUCUGAGAAAGUUUUGAAGAAUGCUAAUUCUUCAGGAUGCCCUGAAAUAUGGAAUGUCGCCAGAUGUAUUGACUUACCAGCGGUGGCUCCAGUGCCAUCUGGCCUCACGGAGGCCGUGCUGGGGAUGGAAAGGCUCAACAGAAGACGUGAAUCCAUUCAUCGGACGGUGGCCCGUGUAAAGGAAGAUGAGCUACCAGAGGAGGACCAUUUUUUUUUCCUUCAGUCAAGUCUUCUUUACAAUGACACCACUGAGGCUUUUAAAGAGAAUGAUUCAUUGCCAUGGGGCCACCUGUGCUUUGCUUAGCAUCCUGCAUCCCUGACCUCCAUGUACCAUGAGCCUGUAUCUUUGAAGAUGACGACAGCUCAAAGCAUUUCCAGACAUUUCCAAGUGUCCUCUGGGGCAGCUAAAAGUGGCUCUAGACAUCUCCAAGUGUUCCCUGGGAGUGAGGGCAAGCUACCUUCUACCCCCAAACUGGUUUAGCACCACUACCUUACUGGAAAUCAUAGAUCUUUAAUAAAAAGCACAUCUAGAAUAAAUUAAUUUUUUAAAA